CUACGGGGGGCAGCAGUGGGGAAUAUUGCACAAUGGGCGCAAGCCUGAUGCAGCCAUGCCGCGUGUGUGAAGAAGGCCUUCGGGUUGUAAAGCACUUUCAGCGGGGAGGAAGGCGGUGAGGUUAAUAACCUCAUCGAUUGACGUUACCCGCAGAAGAAGCACCGGCUAACUCCGUGCCAGCAGCCGCGGUAAUACGGAGGGUGCAAGCGUUAAUCGGAAUUACUGGGCGUAAAGCGCACGCAGGCGGUCUGUCAAGUCGGAUGUGAAAUCCCCGGGCUCAACCUGGGAACUGCAUUCGAAACUGGCAGGCUAGAGUCUUGUAGAGGGGGUAGAAUUCCAGGUGUAGCGGUGAAAUGCGUAGAGAUCUGGAGGAAUACCGGUGGCGAAGGCGGCCCCCUGGACAAAGACUGACGCUCAGGUGCGAAAGCGUGGGGAGCAAACAGGAUUAGAUACCCGAGUAGUC
rnacentral:rRNA from 1 species